rnacentral:rRNA from 1 species
UACGGAGGGGGCUAGCGUUGUUCGGAAUUACUGGGCGUAAAGCGCGCGUAGGCGGAUCUGCAAGUCGGGGGUGAAAUCCCGAGGCUCAACCUCGGAACUGCCUUCGAUACUGCGGGUCUCGAGUCCGGGAGAGGUGAGUGGAAUUCCUAGUGUAGAGGUGAAAUUCGUAGAUAUUAGGAAGAACACCAGUGGCGAAGGCGGCUCACUGGCCUGUUCUUGACGCUGAGGCGCGAAAGCUGGGGGAGCAAACGGG